CUUGGAGUGAGAGGGCUGCUAGGAUAUAAAUUUUUUCUCUUUGCCUACAAAACAGGCAGGAGGAAAUUGGUCUGAUCUAGCAGCAGGAGCUGGUACUUUCUCAAGCUGAACAGCUCAGUGUGUGUGGAAGGGGGUCAGACAGACCUGUUUCACUGACUGAUGGACUCCCAGGUUGAAACUGUGAGAUAAGUGCAUGCUGCUCUUCUCCUGUGAAAUGAGUUGCUGACCUCAAAGUCUGGGAAGACUUCUAACAGUGCAUAGAUCAUCUUGAAGACUGAAAAUUCGAGAAAAUGUACCCUCAUGUAAAAAAAAAAAGGGAAGAAGAAAAGUGAAACUCGUGCUUGGCACUUCCAUAGGGAUCUCUGAGUGCUAGGAGACAAAGAUGAAAACCAGCUGAUAGGAUACAGGCAACCACUACAGAGGAAAUACUGGAUGUCAGAAGAGGGGCGGGAAGCAAUGCCAAGGUCCAGAACACCUUUAGAUGCUGGAACCACCUGAAACCUCCUGAAAUCACUCACCACGGCUCAAACCGCUUUUAAUAAACAGGUAACUAAAAUUCAAGCACUUCCUUUAUAAAGCCUUUUGGUUUCAGGAAAGUGAAUCACUGUCUGACAGUUCGGUGGGAGGUUAUUCAUCCAGGAUUGCUUCACUCCUUCGUGGAGAUGCUUGGUGAGCAGCUCUGCACGCUGGCAGGCUGCU